GACGAACGCUGGCGGCGUGCUUAACACAUGCAAGUCGAACGGAAAGGCUCCAGCUUGCUGGAGUACUCGAGUGGCGAACGGGUGAGUAACACGUGGGUGAUCUGCCCUGCACUUCGGGAUAAGCCUGGGAAACUGGGUCUAAUACCGGAUAGGACCGCACUUUGGUGUGUGUGGUGGAAAGGUUUUUCUGGUGUGGGAUGAGGUCGCGGCCUAUCAGUUUGUUGGUGGGGUAAUGGCCUACCAAGACGGCGACGGGUAGCCGGCCUGAGAGGGUGGACGGUCACAUUGGGACUGAGAUACGGCCCAGACUCCUACGGGAGGAAGCAGUGGGGAAUCUUGCACAAUGGGGGAAACCCUGAUGCAGAGACGCCGCGUGGGGGAUGAAGGCCUUCGGGUUGUAAACUCCUUUCGCUAGGGACGAAGCUUUUUGUGACGGUACCUGGAGAAGAAGCACCGGCUAACUACGUG
rnacentral:rRNA from 1 species